rnacentral:rRNA from 1 species
GACGAACGCUGGCGGCGUGCUUAACACAUGCAAGUCGAGCGGUAAGGCCCUUCGGGGUACACGAGCGGCGAACGGGUGAGUAACACGUGGGUGACCUGCCCCCUACUCUGGGAUAAGCCU